rnacentral:rRNA from 1 species
GAUGAACGCUGGCGGCGUGCCUAAUACAUGCAAGUCGAGCGAACAGACGAGGAGCUUGCUCCUCUGACGUUAGCGGCGGACGGGUGAGUAACACGUGGAUAACCUACCUAUAAGACUGGGAUAACUUCGGGAAACCGGAUCUAAUACCGGAUAAUAUAUUGAACCGCAUGGUUCAAUAGUGAAAGACGGUUUUGCUGUCACUUAUCGAUGGAUCCGCGCCGCAUUAGCUAGUUGGUAAGGUAACGGCUUACCAAGGCAACGAGGCGUAGCCGACCUGAGAGGGUGAUCGGCCACACUGGAACUGAGACACGGUCCAGACUCCUACGGGAGGCAGCAGUAGGGAAUCUUCCGCAAUGGGCGAAAGCAUGACGGAGCAACGCCGCGUGAGUGAUGAAGGUCUUCGGAUCGUAAAACUCUGUUAUUAGGGAAGAACAAAUGUGUAAGUAACUAUGCACGUCUUGACGGUACCUAAUCAGAAAGCCACGGCUAACUACGUG